rnacentral:rRNA from 1 species
UUCGGACUGUAGUCUGCAACCCGACUACACGAAGCUGGAAUCGCUAGUAAUCGCGGAUCAGAAUGCCGCGGUGAAUACGUUCCCGGGUCUUGUACACACCGCCCGUCACACCAUGGGAGUCAGUAACGCCCGAAGUCAGUGACCUAACCGAAAGGGAGGAGCUGCCGAAGGCGGGACGGAUGACUGGGGUGAAGUCGUAACAAGGUAAC